rnacentral:rRNA from 1 species
GACGAACGCUGGCGGCGUGCUUAACACAUGCAAGUCGAACGGAAAGGCCCUGCUUUUGUGGGGUGCUCGAGUGGCGAACGGGUGAGUAACACGUGAGUAACCUGCCCUUGACUUUGGGAUAACUUCAGGAAACUGGGGCUAAUACCGGAUAGGAGCUCCUGCUGCAUGGUGGGGGUUGGAAAGUUUCGGCGGUUGGGGAUGGACUCGCGGCUUAUCAGCUUGUUGGUGGGGUAGUGGCUUACCAAGGCUUUGACGGGUAGCCGGCCUGAGAGGGUGACCGGCCACAUUGGGACUGAGAUACGGCGCAGACUGCUACGGGAGGCAGCAGUGGGGAAUAUUGCACAAUGGGCGGAAGCCUGAUGCAGCAACGCCGCGUGCGGGAUGACGGCCUUCGGGUUGUAAACCGCUUUCGCCUGUGACGAAGAGUGAGUGACGGUAAUGGGUAAAGAAGCACCGGCUAACUACGUG